rnacentral:rRNA from 1 species
UACGUAGGGGGCAAGCGUUGUCCGGAAUCAUUGGGCGUAAAGCGCGCGUAGGCGGCCAGAUAAGUCCGGUGUGAAAGUCACAGGCUCAACCUGUGAAUGCCGCUGGAAACUGUCUGGCUUGAGUCCGGAAGGGGCGAGUGGAAUUCCUGGUGUAGCGGUGAAAUGCGCAGAUAUCAGGAGGAACACCAAUUGCGAAGGCAGCUCGCUGGGACGUUACUGACGCUGAGACGCGAAAGCGUGGGGAGCAAACAGG